rnacentral:ribozyme from 1 species
AAAAUGCAUUCAACAAGUUCGAGAAGAAGAAAAAUCAAAAGACUAUCAUGGAGUAUAUGCAUUCCAAGCUCAAAUGAGUUGACAAUGAAGUGUUUGUUUGUUUUCCCCUUUUUCUGUUUAUUCGCUUGUUUCUUCCAUCAUGAAUUGGUGUACUUCUUA